CGGAAUAUUCCGAGGAAAUUCCGAGGAACGCAUGUUUGGGGUUUCAAAACAUCAAAUUUUUUUUGCCCUAUAUCAUUUCUUAUACAAAUGCAAUGCAUACCAUUGAGGAAUCUUUGUAUAGAUGAUCAUAAACCAUGAAAUAACAAAAUUUCAAAACGAAUUGUAAGUAUUCCCUUUACCGUUCAUUAAAGUGUAUAAGUGCUUCUCUUAUGUUGUGGGGAUUUCGUUCAUACAAUCGGAAAAGUGUUUAUUAUAGGGUAAGAAACAAAUUUAUGACUUCAUAAUCACUUUAAGACACUUAAUAAGGGUUAUAUAAGUGUUAUUCAAACCGCAAAACGUUGUUUUCGGUUUAAAAACCCUACUUCCUCGGAAUUUCCUCGGAAUAUUCCGAGGAAAAACAAGUGUUCCUCGGAAUUUCCUCGGAAUAUUCCGAGGAACGCAUGUUUGGGGUUUCAAAACAUCAAAUUUUUUUGCCCUAUAUCAUUUCUUAUACAAAUGCAAUGCAUACCAUUGACGAAUCUUUGUAUAGAUGAUCAUAAACCAUGAAAUAACAAAAUUUCAAAACGAAUUGUAAGUAUUCCCUUUACCGUUCAUUAAAGUGUAUAAGUGUUUCUCUUAUGUUGUGGGGAUUUCGUUCAUACAAUCGGAAAAGUGUUUAUUAUAGGGUAAGAAACAAAUUUUUGACUCCAUAAUCACUCUAAGACACUUAAUAAGGGUUAUAUAAGUGUUAUUCAAACCGCAAAACGUUGUUUUCGGUUUAAAAACCCUACUUCCUCGGAAUUUCCUCGGAAUAUUCCGAGGAAAUUCCGAGGAACGCAUAAUUUCCUCGGAAAUUCGUCGGAAUAUUCC